rnacentral:rRNA from 1 species
AACGAACGCUGGCGGCAGGCCUAACACAUGCAAGUCGAACGUGAAGCCACCUUCGGGUGGUGGAAAGUGGCAGACGGGUGAGUAACGCGUGGGAAUCUACCCAAUGGUACGGAAUAACUCAGGGAAACUUGAGCUAAUACCGUAUGUGCCCGAAAGGGGAAAGAUUUAUCGCCAUUGGAUGAGCCCGCGUCGGAUUAGCUAGUUGGUGGGGUAACGGCCCACCAAGGCGACGAUCCGUAGCUGGUCUGAGAGGAUGAUCAGCCACACUGGGACUGAGACACGGCCCAGACUCCUACGGGAGGCAGCAGUGGGGAAUAUUGGACAAUGGGCGCAAGCCUGAUCCAGCCAUGCCGCGUGAGUGAUGAAGGCCCUAGGGUUGUAAAGCUCUUUCGACGGGGACGAUAAUGACGGUACCCGUAGAAGAAGCCCCGGCUAACUUCGUGCCAGCAGCCGCAGUAAAAC